rnacentral:rRNA from 1 species
UACGUAGGGUGCAAGCGUUAAUCGGAAUUACUGGGCGUAAAGCGUGCGCAGGCGGUUGGCAAAGUCAGCUGUGAAAGCCCCGGGCUUAACCUGGGAAUGGCGGUUGAAACUAGUCGACUAGAAUCUGGCAGAGGGGGGUGGAAUUCCACGUGUAGCAGUGAAAUGCGUAGAUAUCGGGAGGAACACCAGUGGCGAAGGCGACUACCUGGCCUGUUCUUGACGCUGAGGCGCGAAAGCUAGGGGAGCAAACGGG